CAACUUGAGAGUUUGAUCCUGGCUCAGAACGAACGCUGGCGGCAUGCCUAACACAUGCAAGUCGAAC
rnacentral:rRNA from 1 species